GUGUGAAAAAGUCCAGCAUGAACUCAGACAGGAUACAGACCAGAACCAGAGCCUCAUGUAGACAGAGCUGCUGCAGAAGGAGCAAUAAGCAUGCCUGCACCCUUGAGAGACCUGAGGAGGAUGAAGGAAAACACGGACAACUUGAAUCCAUGACUGUGUUCAGUCUAGGAUCAAGGCCUCCUCACAAAAGCCAUCUCCUUGUAGAUGAGAACUCAACAGACUGUCUGGAAUCAGUUGUGGCAUCACAAUCCUGUAACACCAGAACUCCCAGGCAGAGAUGGAUGUCUGCAAGUGCCAAGUGGCUUGGUCUACACAGUGUGAAAAAGUCCAGCAUGAACUCAGACAGGCCACAGACCAGGACCAGAGCCUCCUGUAGAUCAAGCUGCUGCAGAAGGAGCAAUAAGCAUGCCUGCACCCUUGAGAGACCUGAGGAGGAUGAAGGAAAAUACGGACAACUUGAAUCCAUGACAGUCUUCAGUCUAGGAUCAAGGCCUCCUCACAAAAGCCAUCUCCUUGUAGAUGAAAACUCAACGGGCAGCCACUUGACCGUCAACAACAACAACAACAACAACAACAAUAAUAAAGACUGUGGAUGUUGCUGCUGAUCUUGUGCACUGUGAAUUCAGAUGCUGAGUUCUGUACUCCAAGAUCAAGUUGCAGUCUGGACAUGGGUGUGCUGUCCCAGUCCUGUAACCUCAUAAUGCACAAGCGAGUUCCAGGCACUUUGGGCUGCACCGUGAGUUCUCAGCCAGGGAUGUCAGUGCUCCACAGCCAGGGAUGUCAGUGCUCCGCAGCCAGGGAUGUCAGUGCUCCUCAGGGGAUGGGGUCCUGGAAGUACAUAGCACCACCGGCUCUGUGGAUGCCCACUUCAUGGUGGGAACACUUUCUAUAUUGCAUCCUUGAGGUCAUAUGUUUAGCUGCCACUAUAAUACAGUCCUCUGUUUGCAGAUGCCUGAGAAUGAUCACGCAGACCAAAUUAAUGAGAAACACAAACUUACUGCCGUAACACUUUAGGAAAUGAAACCAUUCAAAAUAAAUCACAAAACCCAGAGCCUUCUGCCUCCAGUUUUCUAGAAAAUAGCACCAGUGAUAACCACACUGCACAGAUAAUGACCUCCAAGACAGGCUGGGUCAUAUUUUUGUUGUUGUUGUUGUUGUGGUGGUGGUGGUGGUAGUUGUGGUUUUUGAUGUUGUUGGCCUUGACUAUGCAUUUGGUGCCAUCAACCCUUUUCUUCAUCCAAGUUUUAUUUCUUUCAUUUCUAUGUACAGGUAUUUUGUCUACUGGAUACAUGUGCACCAUGUGCAUGCAGUUCCGUCAGGGACCAGAAGAGGGCAACAGAUUCCAUGUGGACUGAGUUACAGAGGACUGUUAGCUGCUCCUUGGGUCCUCUGGGAGAAAAACAAAUCUUCUGAAGGGAUGAGCCAUCUCUCCAGUCCCUACACUUGACUUUGUCCUUAUAGCUGUGUGUUAUAGCCCAUUAGUUAGAAUGAAUCCCCCACAAGAGAGAGAAGUGUUUGGAGACCUAGAGGGACGAGUGCAUGAGGUAAGCAUACUGGUUGUCUUAGGCUGCCAAGUACCCAUAUAGGGCAUUUGUGUGUUCAAGAUCUAAGUAGGAUCAUGGCUGCAGCAACCUCUGGAGGACAAUGUGGGAAUCACAGGCCUAGCACCCUGUGUGAAAUUUGCCCAUAGUCUCAAAGUUCUGCAGCUUCCAGUCAAAGGUUAGUGUCAACGGAGGAAGUCCUAGGAGGUAUCUGGAAACUGUGGUCCGGGCCCUCAUCACUAGCUUAGGAGGACCUGUAUCUUUCUUACCUAUUUAUUUGUGUGUGAUGCUGGGCACUGAACCCAGAGCUCUACCCACGCUAGGUCAACUUCCUAUCACUAACCAGGUGCCCAGCCCAAGAACUGGGUUUAUAUAUGUGGAUGCAGAUAUACAUGGCUUGCAUUUCUUUAUUUUUCUUUCCCUCUUUCACACAUCUAUAUAUACAUAUAUUACUCAUGACUGAAAAGAAAUGCCACACUAUGUCCCCUCUCCCUCUUGUUUGGACCCCUUUCUCCCUCUACAUAGUCACUUUUCUGCUUUCACAUCUCAUAUGCACUUCUAUACACCUAUCUAUAUACAUCAUAUAUAUAUAUAUACACACACACACACACACAUAUAUAUAUAUAAAUUUAUUUAUGGAAGAUUACUCACUUCUGUGAUUAGCGUGUAUGUGGAGGUCAGAAGACAACUUGUAGGAGUUGGUUCUCUCCUUCCACUUUGCAGGUCCCAAGGGUAGAACUCAGGAGGUCAGGCUUAGCUACAAGCACCUUUACCUGCUGAGCCAUUUCACAGGCCCCAUAGAUAAAUUUAGAUUCCAGAAAACAAACGGUAGCAAGUGCUGGUGGUACAGGGAAAGCGGGACUCUUAUCCACUGUUGGCAGAAAUAGAAGCUAGUGCCACUGUUUUGAAAAUCAGUGUAGAGGCUUUUAAAAAACUAAAAAUACAGCAUGACCCAGCUAUACCAAACUCUUUGGCAUAUACACAAUGAUGUAAUAAACAGUAAGUUGCUCUUUCUGCUGUCAUUCCUGGGAUAUCCACCGGCAAGACAGCAAUAUCCAUGUGCUAGUAAAGGGGACAGAGACAAAUCACUUCAGAGACAGUUUCAGAGGACAGCGCUUACUGUAUUGCAUGUGAGCAACCUCUUAUAUAGUAGAAACCUGUGAUUGGUUAGCACAUUACCUCGGAUUGAAUACUGAGUGUUCAUCCCGCCACUCUAGGCAGAAGAGGCUCAUUAAAGCAGACUUGGAGAGCAUCGCAGAGUCCUCAGCAGGCCAGCUGCUUCAGAAUUCUAUAUGCUGCCUUCAGGAACAUGGUGCGCCAUGCUUAUUUAGAAGCCCAGGGUGCUAGGCAGGCUGGUCACCAGGUCACGCCAGCAUUCUCUCCAACACUUUUCACAGGAACAAGGAAAAAGAGUUGAUCUGUUUGCCCAUCAAUAAAUGGAUAAUGAAAAUGUGGUGCACACACAGUGGAAUUAUAUUCAGCUGGGAAAGAAAGUAAAAUUUGCAAAAUAAAAAAGGAACUAAAAAACACU
ensembl:lincRNA